ensembl:lncRNA
ACUCACAGAAACCUUAUGCAGAUUGCCUGUCUGCAUAUUUUCAGCAUAGUAUGUAAGAGACUGCACUGGAGUAAGCCAUAGGUAAAUGCUCUUCUGUAUGCUAUCUGCAUUGGCAAAAUGAAUGCAUUAUGGCCUUCUCUUUUUAGCUUUACACAAUUAAGGCUUGCAGCCAUUAGAAGAGAAGUCUGGAUGAGACAAGAAGAAAAGAUCUACCACAUAAUGGUACUAAAGAAAACUAAUACAACGUACUAAAUGGCUGAAUGAAAUGAAAGAUCUUCAAAGUAUUGGCACUACUGCCGAAGAAAAUGCACAUCAACUUCGUUAAGUAUCUUCAUCUUACUCCUUUUACUGUGAUGGGAAAAUAGAAAAGUAUCAAUUUUCUAGAUCCAGACACUAUCCGUCUGUGUGGCUUGUCACAGCAAUGGAGCUGUUGGAAAACAAAAGGCUUUAUUUGUGAAAGAGAAAAUAUAAGUGUUGGAGUGUUGAUAUAGAAUCAUAAAAUCUUGGAAUGGUUUGAGUUGGAAGGAAUGUCAAUGAUUAUCUUGUUCCAAUUCUACCGCCAUGGGCACGGGCAUUUCCUACUAGACCAGAUUGCUGAAAGCCCCAUCCAACGUGUCCUUGAACACUUCCAGAGAUGGGGCAUCCACAGCUUCUCUGGGCAACCUGUUCCAGUGCCUCACCGCCCUCACAGUAAAGAAUUUCUUUCUAACGUCUAAUCUAAACCUACUGCCUUUCAACUUGUACCCACUACUCCUUGUCCUUUCACUACAGUUCCUGAUGAAGUGUCCCUGCAGUCUCUUCUGCAGGCCCCCUUCAGAUACUGGCAGGUUGCUAUAAGGUCUCUGCACAAUGUUCUCCAGGAUGAACAGUCCCAAUUUUACUUCACAAGACUACAUAUUGAGAAAAUGUUAAAGGAUGUAUGACUCCUGAAAUGGAAAACUCAGAGGCUUUAUUUGAGGAAGUUCUCCACUGGUUCUGUCCAUCCACAAACUACAAAUAUGUGUCUUGGAGGCCCACACUUCUGCUCGAGAGCAUCUUCUUCCCACUGAACACAUUCCUGUGCAGAGCCUGCACAAAGCUUGUGAGGCAAUUGUGGACUGCUUUAUGACAGGAGACCCAGGCUUGGAAGAGGAUCGUUUUGCAGAUAUGAAUUUACCUGUCGCACUCCCUUCAUUUUCUCCCUACUUGCUCCCUGAGGACUUGUGUUGCAGCCAAAUGGUGUUUUCCAGUCUAUUUGCGUGCUGGCAUUCCUUGUCAGAUGAUUAAUCACAAUUUAUCAGGCUAUGCCAACUGUACCUUGUGGGAUUCCCAGAGAGAGCUAGGGAAGAUCCAUCCAUGUUGCUUACCUCUUACGGAGAAGCCGUAUCAUUUGUGCUAGAAAGCACAAUGUAAUUUUAAUGAAGUUCUUUGGUUUGGACUUUGCAAUAACAGCAGGAGAAAGUAACUUUCUUAGGGAGAAAUUCUAGUUCCACUGAAGCCAUUAAGCAUUGUGAGUAGCAGCAAGCUUUUGGGAAAUCUUGUGGCACAAGGUAGAUCCUUUGUGUGCUAUGAAGUCAAGACCAGAGUUAUUAUCUGGGGUCUAUGAGAUUUCUGAAUGCAUAAAGCUAAUUAUUUUUAUAUUUUCUCCUUUGUAUUUAAUGCAACAGAAUGGGGUUAUGGUAUUCGGUAACAGUGAAAUUAUAUUUGGUGUUUAAUAAAUCUCAGCAUCACUUAGCUUUUUUCUUAAUUAUAGAAGUUUAUUGGUUGCUCAUUUUUGGUCCUUGUAUUAAAGCAUAUGCAGCCUCUCACUUCAAACAAUUUUUCAUAG